GGUCGAUCAUCUUGAUGGCCAAGAAGUGGGAAGACUUGGUGAGCCGAUCAAUAAUUACCCAAAUAGCAUCAUGUCCCAAGCGUGCCCUAGGCAAUCCUAUCACGAAAUCCAUUAUGAUGUGUUCCCACUUCUACUUCAGAAUCGGUAAUGGUUAAAGUAGUUCGCUUGGGUGUUGAUGCUCUGCCUUGACUUACUGACACGCCACCACUUGGAAACAAAGUCGACCACCUCUCUUUUCAUCUCGUUCCACUAAAAUCGGAAUCGCAUACUUUGAUACAUCUUAGUACUUUGGGGAUGCAUGUCAAACUUUGAGCUAUGAGCCUCUGUCAUGAUAUCCCUUUUCCUAGUCGAGCACUACUUCAACUUUUUGGGGGUUUACCGACACUCCAUCUUUUGAUAUGAUGUACCCUAAGAAGGUAGUCUGCUCAAGCCAAAACCCACACUUACUCAACUUUGCAUACAGCUUCUUCUCUCUGAGAACCUACAAAACCUAAGUCAGAUGGUGAGCGUAUU
rnacentral:lncRNA from 1 species